rnacentral:rRNA from 1 species
UACGUAGGGGGCAAGCGUUUGUCCGGAUUUAUUGGGCGUAAAGAGCGUGUAGGCGGCUUUACAGGUCCGUUGUGAAAACUCGAGGCUCAACCUCGAGACGCCGGUGGAAACCGUAAAGCUAGAGUCCGGAAGAGGAGAGUGGAAUUCCUGGUGUAGCGGUGAAAUGCGCAGAUAUCAGGAGGAACACCCGUGGCGAAAGCGGCUCUCUGGGACGGUACUGACGCUGAGACGCGAAAGCGUGGGGAGCAAACAGG